rnacentral:rRNA from 1 species
CCUACGGGUGGCAGCAGUGAGGAAUAUUGGUCAAUGGUCGGGAGACUGAACCAGCCAAGCCGCGUGAGGGAGGAAGGUACAGAGUAUCGUAAACCUCUUUUGUCAGGGAACAAAGACUGGGACGCGUCCCCGGAUGAGUGUACCUGAAGAAAAAGCAUCGGCUAACUCCGUGCCAGCAGCCGCGGUAAUACGGAGGAUGCGAGCGUUAUCCGGAUUUAUUGGGUUUAAGGGGUGCGCAGGCGGUCUGUUAAGUCAGCGGGCAAAGCCCGGGGCUCAACCCCGGCCCGCCGUUGAAACUGGCAGUCUCGAGUUGGAGAGAAGUAUGCGGAAUGCGCGGUGUAGCGGUGAAAUGCAUAGAUAUCGCGCAGAACUCCGAUUGCGAAGGCAGCAUGCCGGCUCCACACUGACGCUGAGGCACGAAAGCGUGGGUAUCGAACAGGAUUAGAUACCCGUGUAGUC